rnacentral:lncRNA from 1 species
AUUCUCUCUCUCAAACAGAUCGAAAUUAAGUUUAAUUUGAGAAGUUCUCUCUCUUCAUUUCGAUUUCAAACUCGCCAAAGCUUGUAAGUAAACGAAUCUCUCUCUAUUUAUUUUGAUUUCGAUGAGGUUUUUUUUUUAAAUUUAUUCUGAGUAAUUAUUUUGAAUUUUGUUGUUUAUUAAUUAUUUUAGGGUUUUGUUUGAUUAGAUCAGAAACAUUUUUAUGAUUUGUUUGUUAAAAUCAAACAAAACAUUUGUUGUAAUUAGUCAUUAGGGUUUGAUUUAAUUGGAGAAGAAAUCUCUCUCUUCAUUUCGAUUUCAAACUCGCCAAAGCUUGUAAGCAAACAAAUCUGUCUAUUCAUUUCGAUUUCGAUUUCUUACAGUUUUUUUCUUAAUUAAUUUUUCUUAAUUAUAUUGAUAGUAAUUAAAAAUAGAUGCAAUUCUCCUCUUCUUUCAAUUGCUGAUUCAACAAAUACCUGAUUUGAACCCUCUUCAAACCUCACUGCUUCUAAUUGAGUUAUUCUACUGUUCAGAAAUUGAUCAUGUUCGGUUCUUUUAAAGUCUAAGUAGAUGUGAAAAGAAAAAGUCAUUUAUUUAAUUUAAUUUUAGUUUGUUUAUGAUUGCUUUCUUUUUCAUUUUAGUAAUUUAGUUUGUAUUUUUGGUGUGAUUUGUUUCUCGAAGUAAUUAUACAUUUUUCAAUUCGAUGAGAAUCAAUAGAUUAUUGAUCAAUAUUCUUAAUUUUCCAAACUUUUGGUCUCUCAAUUCCACGUGGAAAUGCCACUGGUAAUCUAUGCUGUCAGGGGCGCCUGAUACGGUUAGAGUAGUGUAAAGUGUAAACUGUGGGGUCUGAUCGGAGCGCCGCCUGAGCGGUGGAGGUGGUUCCCAGAAAUCUGAGCGCCUGGCGCUCCGCUCCGCCCUUGACAGUAUAGCUGGUAAUAAGUGAUCCGUAUGUGAGAGAAUCUCUUAGAAUCACCCUAUUAGGACUGACGUUUGCACAUUUUCCUGGUCCCAUCCUAGAUUUCAGUGUUUUAGAUCUUCUCAUGCUUUCUGUCAAACACAAUGCAGGUCACCCAGUUUCACCCUUAGCCAUAUAAAGUAGUACUUAAACAACAAGCUAGAUAACUAAGUUGAAAAUACUAGUUCUACACUUACAAGGUUACUAAUAUAGAAGAAAGGCAACGAAUUGUUCAUUGGCCAGAUAAGAGUUGAGAGUUGCACACCCACAGAUGGAAAGAUUUUCCUCACGGCUAGGUUUCAUUAUGGGUACAUUUGGUUCACUGGAAUUUAAAAGAAAAUCGCUAGAUUUUAGGGACGAAAUCAUUAGAUACAAUUAGGAAUGAGAUCGGAAAAUGGAUUCCAGGCAUGUGUAGAAUUAAGGAAUAUGGUUUCCUUGAUUCAAAAAAUGGAAACCAGUUUCCAUUACUGGUGUUACAAAUCCGUCAAGUGAUUUAUUUUCAUCAGAAUUCAAUCUUUCUCCGUCUGGGUAUCUCCCUCAUUUGUGCGUAAAAAUUCUUCUUUAAACAUUUGUGAUUGUGGUUACUAAAGCUCUUCAAGUCUUCAGGCAGUUUGGUUCAAAUUACUUGAUUGCUUAUGGAUUAACCAUUUCAAAAGUUUCAAACCAUCCCCAAGACGUCUAUACUGUUGCAAAGAAGUUCACCAUCAAUUUCACAUUCUCUAGGAAGCCAAAAGUGCUUGAAAACCAAUAUUCAUUCUAUAAGAUUAUUAAUUUUCACUUAGAUCAUCCUAUAACAAAAAUUAGAAACCUGAAACCUGUGGGUUGGAUUAAUUUCAACAUUAACAUACUCUGAGUGCAUUUUAAUUUGUUAAUUACAUUUCUUAAUGAUCACUAGCUUUAUCACCAUGUGUACUGCAAUAUGCUUUCAGCAAGUGUAAAUGUUACACAUGUCCUUAUAGAGUUAUGGAUUAAGACUUCACUAUGGAAACCAAUAAUUUGUUACUUCCCCACUGUACCUAGUGUCUACCUUAAAGCAAAGCAAAAACGAACAUGAUGGUUAUAUCCGAACAAUCUUCAUUUACACUCCUUAAUAUUGCACAGAUGUUAGGUUCUUAAUGGUAUCAUAUCAUACAUGGAAGUGGUAGACAUAGUGUAGACAAAGAUCCGUAAAAUUAUUUAAUUAUUUCUUUUUUGUUUGUUUAAUCUGUCCUUAAAAAAUCUUUAUGAGUAGCAUAUAUGCCUUAUAUGCAUUGAAGGGUUAAACUAAAGCUAAUUGAAUCCCUAAUCUGAUAUGAUUCUAGAAAACUAUAUAUUAUUGAUUAUCAAUAUCAUGCAUUUCUUAGCUAGACCUUCCUACACAAAGCUUGUCACUGUACAGUUACACACUUGUUUGCCUAGCCACCAAUUUAAGCCUUAUCUCAGCAACAGAUCUAAGAUAGAGUUCCACCUGCAGUAGCAACACCAUAAUCUCCAUAAAAGGAAAAAGAAGGGACCGUGAACUUUUACGUGCAUAAUCUAAAGUACACUGCACACUUGAUGAUAUUGUCAAUGUGAAUGUCAUUUCUGUUUCAUGUCUAGCUCUUAGCUAGUGUACCCUUAAGUCAACUUAAAACUUUGUUUGAGACUUAUUGUUAUUCAAAUGCAGCCCAGAAAAAAUUGUUACUUUGGGCUGCCUCGGAGCUACCUACUUGCGCUGCCUGAAUGGGAGAAGCACUACGACCUAUCAAUAUGCGACUCCAGUAGGCUAUAUUAGUAGCCAACCGGCCGAGGGGCUAGUAACGCUUGUAGGUUAUAGCCAGUAGGGAC